AAAUCAAAGGGAAAAAGUGGCGGAGAACGAUGGGAAAAUAAGAAUCGAAAUGAAAAAAGAAGAGUCGCCGGCGCCGCGAGAGAGUGUGAAAGACGGAGAGAGGCGAGAGUAACGGAGCGCGGCAGGGCGCGUUGUGCCACUCAAAAAGUGGCGCCAAUUUCAAAUUUAAUUAAUUUCCAGAGGAAUUUUCGAUAUUUUUUCUAUUUUA
ensembl:ncRNA M01H9.6 ncRNA